UCCCUGGUGGUCCAAUGGUUAAGACUCUGCACUUCCCCUGCAGGGGCAUGGGUUCAAUCCCCAGUGGGGGAA
rnacentral:tRNA from 1 species